UACGGAGAGGGCUAGCGUUAUUCGGAAUUAUUGGGCGUAAAGGGCGCGUAGGCUGGUUAAUAAGUUAAAAGUGAAAUCCCGAGGCUUAACCUUGGAAUUGCUUUUAAAACUAUUAAUCUAGAGAUUGAAAGAGGAUAGAGGAAUUCCUGAUGUAGAGGUAAAAUUCGUAAAUAUUAGGAGGAACACCAGUGGCGAAGGCGUCUAUCUGGUUCAAAUCUGACGCUGAAGCGAGAAGGCGUGGGGAGCAAACAGGAUUAGAUACCCUGGUAGUCCACGCUGUAAACGAUGAGUGCUAA
rnacentral:rRNA from 1 species